rnacentral:tRNA from 1 species
AUUACUUUGGCAGAUUAGUGCGAUAGAUUUAGAAUCUUUUUAUGUAGAUAAUACAUGUAAUA